ACGCCGAUUUGUCUUUUUAGGACUUUCAGGACCCUUCGAGGACAAGUCUGUGCUGCUAUGGAGACACCGGCGGUGUAUUGCGUCAGCGAUUCGGCGGCAUCGCUCACAAUGGCGGAUGAUUGGAUUCGUGGUUUGUCGAGGCAGCGGCACAAGGCGAUGUGCGAGGCAGGCGCUGUGUUCCCGGUGGCGCGGACAGGCGAAAGAACAGAGGACGAUGAGGCUCAGACCGCCUCAUCCUACAGAGACUCAAUCGCGAGGGUUCCCACUAACCGGCUUCAUCUCCACAUGAUGCAUCGCCGGCGUCUGUACAAGCAGUACGCGAUGGACCUGUCUGUGCGGGCCGAUACACACUCGUUCUAUCAGCUGAUGAUGUGGUGCCAUGAUCACCAUGUUUUCCUGCACCCUACCGUGGAAAUGACUCGGCACCGCAGCGCGUUUCGAGAGCACGUUUUUCGCGUGAAGGAGGACGUGGACGCCUUCACCCCUCUUCUUGCGAUCCCAGAAGACUUGAUCAUUGGCUUCAAGGACGCAAACACGGAGUCGAGCGACCCAUCAGCGAGCACCGACGACCGCAACAACCUCUAUGAUGCCAAGCGCGAGGCGGAAUUUCACAAGCUCAACACCGGCGAGAACAGCGAUGCUGACAUCUGCCAGUUUUUCUUUGCUUCUCUCGGGAUGAUCGUCUCCGACCUUAUCACGGCCAAGAGCAGCCCACUAACGGAUCCUCGACACUUGUUCGCAAAACUGCUGAGUAAAGUACCGACGCUGCAAAACGCGCCUUAUUUUGACGAGGAAGUUGUCUUCGACUCCAAUGAAACCUGCCUUGCCGAUGUGCUGCUGCAGAUGAUCCGCAACUACAUCAGCGGAGGCCCUCUUGUGAACAAGGUACCGUUGCAUGAGCUACGCUGGGCUGUCAGUGUGUCCCUGUCGCACUCCACGCCGCUAUCUAUUGGGGCUGUGCGGUCGAUCGGUAUUGUCCCGGUGGUCCACCUCUUCCCACACGGCGGAACAGCUACAAAUGCGUACGUGGUCGCACGAACCUCGCGUGAAAAGUCUGCAGAGAAGAUGGCCACCUUCUUCAGAGAGAAGUUUGGGUAUGACUUCCAGGGGCAGGCAAACGGCAAGUGGAUCUAUGUCGUCCCGGAGCGGCCGCUGAAGGCAGGUGAGGCGAUUAACUUGCAAGCCAUGGCACCAGUUUGCGAAAAGGACAGCGAGGCCGAGCAGAUGUGGCGGCUGUCGUGCGGGACAGUGCCAGAGUCGUACAUGUUGAGCGCGCAAGCUUCCGCUCGGCAGGAGGCCGCGACACGCUUCAUUGUUGAGCAGGGCGAAGCUCUGUGGAAGGCGUCGAAGCGAUCGCUAUAGGAACCUAGUUGAUCUCGCCCGGGCGCCGACGCCACUGCACACGAUGUCUUCUCGUGUUCUUUUUCUUGCCGUUUCUGGGAGGCGUGCUGGCGACGGAAGCGCGUCUGCCGACUCGAUCGUGACCCAACACGAAAUAAUGCUGCGUGCCUUGGCGCGGUAUUCUCCCCCCUCCCUGCCACGUUCUCUGGGUUCGUAGUGUGCCUAAUUCCAGGCGCGGGGAUGGAAGGCGCCCUGGGCCACCCGUGGCCAAUGAUGCGCCUCUGGUUCUUGUGUGCAAGUGCUUGACGCACACACCUAUGUGCACGGUCUUUGGCCGAGCUAGCAAGCAUUUCCCCUUGCCUCUCAUGCCUUCAAACACCUCGCCCUUCCCUCCCUCACCGCCUCACACAUCACCCCUGCCGCGCCUUGCGUGCGACGGCGGCCGUGUCUCGCCGCCUCAAG
rnacentral:misc_RNA from 1 species